AACUUCAUCUCUUCAAUUGGAGAAGAGAGAAAGAGAAAAAAAAUCUUUGUUUAAUUUAAUUUGUUUUAAAUUAUUAUUUAAAACUAUUAUUGUUAUUAUCAUCAUCAACCUCAUAAUCAUCAACAUCAUAGUCAUUACAAUCAUCAAUCAACAACAUCAGCAACAUGGUGGAAGGAUUUAGAGAAACUGGAAUUGUUGAAAAAUUAUUACCCUCCUAUGGAUUUAUCCAGUGCUGUGAAAGACAAGCUCGCCUCUUUUUUCAUUAUAGUCAAUUUAAGGGUAACAUUGAUCAUCUUAAACUUGGUGAUCCUGUUGAAUUUGAGAUGACCUAUGAUCGUCGGACUGGUAAACCAAUUGCCUCGGUGGUUGUUAAAAUAUGCUCUGAAGCUUUUCUUGGUGAAGAAUUGAGCAGUGAGAGAGUGAGUGGUUUUGUUACCACCGAAUUAGGUGAAGGAAGAGAAGGCCGAGUUGCUUAUGAACAUAGAGGUGAAUGUUUCUUUCUUCCAUUUACCAUAAAAGAUUUAGAAGAUACUACACAAAUUGUUAAACAAAAUGAUCGAGUCACUUUCCUGAUUACUCCCGAUAAAAGUGGUAACCUUCGUGCCCGAAGAAUUGCCUUAGAGACACCAACCCCGGAACGUUACCAAGGUGUUGUAUGUACUUUGAAAGAUUCUUUUGGUUUCAUCGAGAGAGCUGAUGUGGUCAAGGAGAUAUUUUUCCACUCAUCUGAAUGUAAAGACUUUAAGAGUUUAACUCUUGGUGAUGAUGUUGAAUUUAGGGUUCAGACACGUAAUAAUAAAGAGGUUGCCGUAAGAGUAGACAAACUUCCUUCUGGAGCUGUUGUAUUUGAAGACAUUUCCCCUGAAACAAUCACUGGUCGAAUUAUCAAAUUAAUCGAACGUCACAGUAAUCAUUCCUCUAGCCGUCAACAUUUCACAAGCAAUAGCCUCCAAUCGGGAUCCGCAUCUAGUGAACCUUUCCCCGGUAAAAUAGUCUAUAUGGAUGGCAAUACUGAAAAAGAGAUCUCAUUUGGUGACAAAGAUGUACGAGGUUAUUACACUUUACAAGUUGGGGACACAAUACAGUUUAAUGUAGUCACUGAUCGACGUGACAAACUAGAGCAUGCAACUAAUAUUGAAAUUCUUGAAGAGACAUUCGAAAAUUCUGAAGAAGCCAGAGAGCAAGGCUACAUUGCUGCUCUCAAAGAGUCAUAUGGUUUUAUCAAAUGUCUCAAUCGAGAAGGAACUAGAAUAUUUUUCCGUUUCGCUGAACUAUUGGAUCCAACUACAAUUCCUAAAUUAAAUGAGGAGGUUAUAUUUACCAUUGCUCCGGAUCACUCCAUGCCUGGUCGUUUACAAGCAGUAAGGAUUAAAUUUCUACCCGAUGGAACCAUUUUCAAAAAUCUUUAUGCAAAACGUAGUUUUGGUAAUGAUAAUGGUGAAGAUGGUAAAAUGUCUGCCAGUUAUGGAGGUGGUAAAUUGGAAUCUCGCUUGAGAAACGAUUACGGCAAUGGCAUGGAUUCAAUGGACGAAAGUAAUGGUAACUGUGAAUUUCCUCUAAUCGAUUUGAAUACAGAUGAAUCAUCGACCACAGGUAAAUCGUCUCUAAGUUCAAACGAUUACCUGUCCAAAAGUGCCAAACCACGAUUUGGGAGAACUCAAAAUUCAUGGUCUCACUUAUUAUCACAAUUACCUAUAUCAAUGACCUCCGAUCCUUCAACUGACAAUGAUUAUCAUCAUCAUCCUCAUGCAACCACAUCCACAACUAAUACCAAUGACAAUUCCCAAUUGAUUGAUAUAUUUUCCUCUGUUGAUGAAACAAAUUGUGCACCUCUAAUCAAACCACUGGAACCAGCUUUAAUGAAAAACUCAUCAUUUACCCAUGAAAUUAAUUGCAAUGACAACGAUCCAACUAAAUAUAAUAAAUUUGGAGACAAUCAAAAUGGAUUAGAAAAUAGUACCAAUGGUUUCAAUGGCAAAAAUGGGGUCAAAACUGUUCAAAGAGGAUUUCCUAAAGAUACCUUUGGCUUCAUCGAGAAUGAGAACCAUAAAAAUGAAGCUUACUACAGAGUCAAAAUGAUGAUAAAUUUGCUAAGGAAUAUAAUUCAAUGAUUGACUCUCAUUGAAUCUGUUACCUUUAUCAUCGACAAUACUGUCCACUAUCUUAAUGAACUGUGCACCCAAAGUCCGAUUAACAGAACUCUCGUUAAGAUAAUUUGGAUUUUGUUCAGCAUAUUCAGUAAAUGCUUGUACAAUUGCAGCUCUCAUUUGACUGAAAAACUCAGUUGUUUGUCGCAUUAUUUCAGGAUUUUGAUACUGAGAUGGCCCUUGAUCCUCUGUUAGAUCAUUAUCAUUUCAAUUGGAACACUUUGUUGUUGAAAAUUUUGUGGUGAUGAUUUAGAUGAUUGUUGUAAAUUAGUAACUGCAAUCAGUUUAUCUUUGAGUCUUUGUAAAAAUAUCUCAUCAUCUUUAUCGCUUCCAAUCGAUGAUGACUUUGAACCAAUCACUACACAAAGUAAAAUUAAAAAACAAACAGACUCACAAUGUUUAGUUAACAUGAUCAGUCAAGAUUGGACUCAGUUAAUCAAAAGCCAAUAAUUAAUCUAAUCCAGUCUUUUAUACUUACAUUGGGUGCCAUUCAAAUGAAUCCAUUACCACGAGUUACCAUGACAAUAAGAGGGAUAUGAUCUAAUAAACCUGUAAUUAGUCAAUGAAAUACGUUAACUAGAGUCAAUUUGAAAGGGUGAUUGUUUGAAAGGCAUAACUGUAUCUCUAAUUGAUCCCAUAUCCUAAUUAUCAUCAUGAUUGUCAAACCUUUGUAAACAAAAAACCCGUAUGACUUUUUGGUACUUACCUUUUUCUUUUCUCUCUUUUCUCUUCUCUCAUUUAUCCCUCCCGAUAUAUUUUCACAAUUUCACUUUCACAUCAUCUUUAA